rnacentral:tRNA from 1 species
GCGGGUAUAACUCAGUGGUAGAGUGUCACCUUGCCAAGGUGAAAGUCGAGGGUUCGAAUCCCUUUGCCCGCUCCA